rnacentral:SRP_RNA from 1 species
AUCAGGUACAGUGGUACACACCUGUGGUCCCAGCUACUUAGGAGGCUGAGGUGAGAGGAUUGCUUGAGCCCAGGAAUUCUGGGCUGCAGUGUGCUAUACCAAUUAGGUGUCUGCACUAAAUUCAGUAUCAAUAUGCUGACCACCUGGGAUCGAGGGGCUGGGGUUGACCACCAGGUUGUCUAAGAAUGGUAAACUGGUCCAGAUCAGAAACGGAGCAGGUCAAAGCUCUCAUGCUUAUUGGUAGUGGGAUAGUGCCUAUAAAUAUCUACUGCACUCCAGGCUUGGCAACAAAGUGAGACCUCAGCUCU